rnacentral:tRNA from 1 species
GCUUUUAAAGGANGACAGAUAUCC